CCGUCCGGCUGCGCGAAGCUCGACGCCGUGGCCAUGUGGGUCAUCAACGGGUUGACGGGCGCGUUCUUCGCGUCGUUGGAGCGGUGCUCUUGCAUUCGCAUUUCCACCUAUGAGGAUGAUUUGGGGGAUGAAGCCAACGACCUGCCAUUGAUUCUCAACGAUGGAAAUCUCAGAGGCCAUCGUGAUGCAAACGUUAGGCCCCGAAGAUUAGGAAAAGAUGUUUGAGUGCUACUAUUGACUAGAGAAGCGACGGAAGUUGGAAGUGAGGUAGCUACAAUCACACCAAAUCAUGAGAA